GAACGUGACGGAUGUGAAACGACCCGGCGCUAUAUAGAACGGCAUCGCAAAUCAUCAUAAGUGUAUCAUCGUUGCUAACUAACGAUCCGCAGUUUCUGAGAGGAGGAGGAGGCCUAGGAGAGGCAUCGGGCAUCAGUGGAGCAACUUAGCGUAUCAUCGUUGCUAACUAACGAUUCGCAGUUUCUGAAAGGAGGAGGAGGCCUAUAGGAGAGGCAUCGGGUAUCAGUGGAGCAACUUAGCGAAUCAUCGUAGCGACGCUGCUGCUGAUAACUCCACUGCUGCGCAUCGGUCGGUGAGAGAUAAAGAUUGUAUAUUAAUAAUUAAUUGCAUGUUGCAUGAAUUAGAUUUAUAUAAAAAAUUAUGUGAUAUGAGAGUUUAUAAAUUGUUUUUUUUACAAAAAGAAUGUGUAUAUAAAGUUUAGGAAUUUUAACGCAUUAAGUUUGAUAAAACGCAACGUCUCUUGCAACCAAGAAGAGGCUGAAGAGGAAAUUUAAAUAAGAGACGAAUAAUUAAUUAUUCUAAGAUGUAAGAUGAAACAUUGAAAAGGGAGAGACGUCCUCGAUUAAUGGCUGAUCAUUUUUAAUUAUCCUGAAUUAUUAAUCACUCAAUUUGUAAUAUUUAAUUGUAAUUAUUAAUUAAACAAUUAAUUAAAUUUUAUCUGAUACUGCUGUAUAUGAUUUUAAAUCUUAUAAACUUUUCAUCUUAAUCUUGAUUUGUUGUUACUUAUUAUGUUUAUUCUCAAACGCAUUUUAUAUAAAUGUUUAGAAAUAGUGAUGUGAGAUUCAAAGAGAAUAAAUAAUUUUUAUUUUAAUUAAUAAUUUUAGCUUAUUUAUAUAUUUAAGUUUUAAUGACGUUUCUUUACAUGUAAAAAUAUAUACUUUUUAUAAAUUACAUUAUUGCUUUAUUUGGUCUUCAGCAAGAGAAUCUUGGUGUUAAAUAAUAAUUUUUCUUUGAACUUAAUAUUUGUAGCGUACAUAAUUCUCGCCGACAAAGAACAAUUUAUAGAAAUAAUAUUUUUUAAAUUAUAUAUUUUUUAGUGAAUUUAAUAUUUCCAGUUUAUGAACUAUUCGCCACUUUUUUAAAUCUUGAAAUACCAUUACUACCUAGAUAUCGGUACUCGGGAGCAUCUAUAAAAUUUCUUUCUUUUUCUAAACUAUUGGCAAUAAUUAUUGCGAAAAACUAAUACCUCAAUCAGGACUGGCCAUUCUAAUUGAGAUAUUAUUUUUCGCAAAAGCCGUAAAUAAAUUAUUGGGGAAAUAAUACAUACCUUAGCCAGGACUGACCAUCCUGGUUGAGGAAUUAUUUCUCGCAAUAAACUAUUUACAGUAUUGCAAAAAAUAAUAUCUCAGGACUGGUCAUCCCGACUAAGAAAUUAUUUCUAGCAAUAAAUUAUUUGCAGUAAUUCGGGAAAGGGGGAACUUACAGAUGCAUCACAGCACCGAGCUAAUCCAGUGCAUCAUAGUAUUUAGCUAAUAACUGUUUCAAGACUAAUAAAUCGGCGCGGAUUAUAUACGCUACAAAUAUUAAGUUUACAGAAAAAUUAUUAUUUAGCACCAAGAUUCUCUCGCUGUAGACCAAGAUAAAGCAAUAAUGUAAUUUAAAAAAGUAUAUAUUUCUACAUGUGAAGAAAUGUCAUUAAAACUUAAGUAUAUAAAUAAGAUAAAAUUAUCAUAUUAAUUUAAAUAAAAAUUAUUUAAGUAUUCCCUUUGAAUCUCACAUCGCUAUUUCUGAACAUUUACAUGAAAUACGUUUGAGUAUAAACAUAAUAAGUAACAACAAAUCAAGAUUGAGAUGAAAAUUUUAUAAGAUUUAAAAUCAUAUACAGCAGUAUUAGACAAAAUUCAAUUAAUUGCUUAAUUAAUAAUUACAAUUAAUUAUUACAAAUUAAGUGAUUAAUAAUUAGGGGUAAUUAAAAAUAAUCAGCGAUUAAUCGAGGACGUCUCUGCCUUUUCCAUCUUUCAUCUUAUAAUCGUGAUUGAUUAUUUGUCUGUUACUUAAAUUUUCUCUUUAUGGCCUUUUCCUGGUUGCAAAGAGGCCAUAAAAAAAUUGCGUUUUAUCGCACUGCCUCUUAAUGCGUUAAAAUUCCUGAACUUUAUAUAUUACACAUUCUUAUUUGAUUUGCCAUCGGGGCAUUACGAGGCAGUACGCAACCAUUUCCUGCUUCUGUUGGUAACGUUAAAAACAGAAACUUUUUAGCUUCUUUUUUUGCUUAAUAUUUUCGUACUGGGGCGCGUGAGCGAUUCUCAAUGUAAGGGCGCGUAAGCGAGUUGUAAUGGCACCGUUUGCCAUUACUUAAAUUAUCUGGCUGUCGUGCAGCCAGAAUUGAUUUAGCCAGGAUCAACGAAAGGUGAGUCCAAUCUGGCCGGAAGAAAGAAGAAA
rnacentral:lncRNA from 1 species